CCACAGACAGUGAAUGGACUAUGCUACGUGGAAGAAAAGAAAAAUAAGAAGAGAAAACUGUUGGCAUUCGUGGAGCGGCGGGUAUAAAAGGCCCCAACGCAGGCCGGCCGGGCACUACUGCUCGCGUCGCCGACCAUCUUGCAUAUCUUCAACGCCGUUCCCAGCACCUGUGUAGAUGUGGAAAGAGAGAACCCUCUGGCCAUCGCACUUGAGACCUGACUCGAGCCUGGCCAGUUCAAAGGGGAGUCGUCUUGCCAACUGCGGGAACAAACUCGAGUUGAGUGUUUUGGCGCAGCGUCACAACGUGCCUUGAGACCAAACCCCUGAACAAACCCUGGACUGAUCAUCUUAACUAUUCUGCAUCGCAUUGAGCCUCAUUAAGGAGUGAAAUCCUUAAAGCCGUUCAACAGUACACAGAGUCGCGUCUCUUCGCAAAGUUUCCAGCUCGCCGCGCUCCCGCUUCGCCUUUGUGCUUCACUUGACCGUACACGCCGGCAAGAUGGUUCAGGAUCACAGCUACAAGUCCUACAACAGCUACGUCCCGGAUCCCCAGGACAGCAAAUCCACCUACAAGGCCAUGGUGACGGGGGGCUACAACAGCUCCCAGCAGCAGGCCGCCUCCAGCCCCGGCUCGAACGGCCAGCAGGGGGGCAACAAGAACAAGAAGAGCAAGACUGACGUGUGGGGUCCCAUCUAUCAGAACAGACAGCACUUCAUCGACAUGCAUAUCUGUUAGGUCUCCAGUCCUCCCUUGCUGGCCCUCGAGGCGGCAAGGCGAGCGUCUCCAUGGGCGCGUGACAGCCUGGUCGCCGCCACUAAGUAGAAUCUGUUAGUAUUUUGCUCAUAUUAAUCAAUUCGCGCCGAGGGAAGAAAGGUUCGCCACUAACAGUCUCAGCCUCGGUCUUGUCACUGAGAGCUUCGUGCCAUUGGUUGGUGUGUGUAAUAGGUACAGGUUUCAUUUUGCUAAUCUCAUUCACUUAAUUCACUGUGGCGAUGGAAGUUAUUCAUUAAAUCAUCAUUUCGUGAGUUCAUUUGGGUUUUCCUAAAUGAUGGUUCUCUUGCAAGUAUCACCACCAUAAUCUUAUUUUCUCGGGAAUGGUUACCCCUUUUGCUGAUAAUCGAGUAUCCCUCAUAAUGCAGUACAAAACAUCAUAAUUAGAUUCAUAUCUUCAUACCACAUGAGCAUGAUGAAUAAACACUUAUACUCGAAUACAAAAUUUUUAUUGUUGACCUUUUCCGUUCGACCGAGUGUGCACAAGUCCAUUUGAUCUGAAUUCUAAUUACCUUCAAAAAUGACCGACCAGUGGAUCUAAAGGUAACUGUGAAGGUGAGGAAGAUUCAGGCCGGAAGGCGCCGUGUCACGCUGCUCAUCUUUGCCUUGGCCUUACGAACAGAGGAGUUAUCAUCCAAGGAAACACAUGCGUCAUACACUAUUCCAGGUAACUGUAUUUCCAUGAAGUCAGGAAUUGAAGGUCAGGAAAUUAAUUAAUAGUAGGUGCCGGCCGUCCUAUAAGACCGCAUCUCCUAAUUUACAACAACAUAUAAGAGGUCAAGUAUUUUCUCUCGGUAUCCAUGUUUCUUACAUUAUAAUGAGCGAAAAGGCAUCUACAUAAUUAAAUAGUGGCGUGCGUGACAGCGUGUAACAAAUGAUUAGAUUUAUAAGGAUAACGAUUACCUUUUAAGGAGGAAAAUGAUAUAUUGUGUAUUUUGAAACAAGUCCAGCAGCGGCUUUCCAACCACAAAAAAGAUAAAUUCGUUAUUCACUACAGCGUAAGUGUGACCUUGAAGUAUUUCAGUAUGUCAAACCACAGAAAUCAAUUAACGAUAAUGCAUCUUACAUUCUUCUCAAAUACAUGAUUUUUUUGGUGCUUUAUUGUGCACUAAAACGUAAAAGGAAACGUUUGCAGUUAUUAUUUUUUACAAUGAUAUUCUUUCGCGCCAAAGUCGUAGGAGGAUCUAUUCCCUACCACUUGCUCAUCCCUCGUCUUGUGCCGUCAGAACACACGAGGGGGUGAAUGGCUUCCCCACCUCAUCCAUCACUAACGCCGGAUUUUUUACACGUCGUAUUGGCAUAUUUAUUAGCAUUAACUCGGCUAGUUUGGCUUUUUAGUUCCAUGGAUUGUCACAGUGUUAAGUAGACCGACAUAUUACAAACUCAUUCUUAAGAAGCGGAAUAAAAACAAUCGAUAAAACGGAGCAACCUCGCGGGUAAAAAGACGAAUCAGACACAUUAUUGUUAUCAAAGACUAACACGACGCUUGAAAUAUCAGGCGUAUGUUUCCAGUGCCUCUCUAGACGCAUCUGUGCCUGGCCAGGGUCAUGAAUACGUCCGGAAGGGCACAUAUGGUUGAUCCGUGGUGGCUGUGCGUGGGAAUGGGGGAAGGGGGCAAUGCUCUCUCUCUCUCUCUCUCUCUCUCUCUCUCUCUCUCUCUCUCUCUCUCUCUCUCUCUCUCUCUCUCUCUCUCUCUCUCUCUCUCUCUCUCUCUCUCUCUCUCUCUCUCUCUCUCUCUCUCUCUCUCUCUCUCUCUCUCUCUCUCUCUCUCUCUCUCUCUCUCUCUCUCUCUCAAGUCUACGGGGCCGACACUGCAUACUUGGGGCGGUGAGUCAUAUAGUUAAAUUGUCUAUCACUGACAGGUGGCUAAUAUCCCUGUCAUCUAACAUACACCAACACUGCUCGGAAGAGAUACAGCACAUAUUUCAUCAGGUGUGACACGCUCAUGCUGGUAAAUGCUGCUUAAAAUUACUUCAUAGUUAUUGUAUCCGACUGCAGUACUUAAGAAUGUCUAUACUCUUCCACUUAUUGUGUAUGAAUGCAGUCGUGUUUUUUUCCAAAGUCGUGAAAAUACGUGGAUAUCCUAAUUUGUGCUCACCUGACCUACGUGACAGAGCUCAAGUAGGGUGCGCGCCAGAACGGUACACCUGCUUUCACCUUAAGAAGACCUUGCCUCUACCUGAACCUGGACACGUGCACACUAGGGAUCAGUGUAAAGAGGUGACCCCUGCCAUACAUACACACAGACAGACAGGUAGACAGACAAACAGACAGACACAUACAGAUAGACAGACAGACAGACAAUGGGACAGUUGGAGACUUACACACACACACACACACACACACACACACACCAAUUUCGACUAGCUAGACAUAACUUCAUUUUUUCCAUGUGUGUCUAUUUCAGUUCGAGAUAGGCUGCAAUAGCAAUAAUAACAACAAUAAUGAUGAUGAUGGUGAUGAUGGAGAUGAUGAUGAUGAUAGUGACCUCCAGAAAUCCCCGUGGCGUAAGAAGAGAGUCAGACGAGGGUUGUGAGAAAUCUUUUUUCAUCAUGUCUGGAAGUUCCUUUGUAUCACCCAAGGGAAGCAUGAGCUGAUCUUACGUGGCUGUGUGUGUGUGUGUGUGUGUGUGUGUGUGUGUGUGUGUGUGUGUGUUACUCAUGGCCAAGCCUCGUCAUCUUUCAUACAGAAGAUGGAGGAGGAGGAAGCAAGUGAGAAGGAUGAAGAAGAAAAAGAAGGAAAGAAAGAAUAGGAGGAAGAAAAAGAAGAUGGAAAAUUGCAAAGCUAUAUCUGCGUUACGUCAACUGAUCAAAAGCAAAAAGUACGAUGUAAGGAAAUGGAUGAAUUAAAAUCAAACUAGUUUCAUUAUCAUAACAAUGAUAAAAAAUGAUGGAAAAAGAAAAGGAAAAGAUGAUGACGGCGACGACGACGACGACGACGACGAAGAAGAAGAAGAAGAAGAAGAAGAAGAAGAAGAAAAAAGAAGAAGAAGAAGAAGAAGAAGAAAAAAAAGGUAAAAGAAAAGGGAUAAAUGAACCCUAAAGCGCAGCAGACAAACGUUUUAAGGUCACUCGGAAGGAAGGAAAGGUAAAGGAAAAGUCCCACACUUAAACCUGCAGACCAAUUGCAUAGCAAGCAAACCCCGGGCAAUGACGUCAAUGCGAGACUGACCAAUCUGAUGACGAGAAACCGUCCAGUUGAUGACGUCAAUAGAGGAAGAAGAAAAAAAAAGAGGAAGUCAGGAAACCCAGUCUUGAGUGGUGGCGUGAUUAAUUUCCUUUCCUCGGAUCCAGGACUGAGAUGGUAGUUCAUCGUUUCUGGGACAUGUAUGGUGGAUUCAGAGUUUACUCAUUUGAUCCAUAUUCAUCUUGGUAAUUUAAGAAGAGGUAAAAUAAAUCCACUUCCUCCCGUCGGUGUGGAAGCAGCGCGGCACAAACGUCAGCAGAACCAGUCAUGCAAGGUGAUACUGAUGAUGAUGGGAACGUUGCCGAGUCUCGACGGCCCGCCGGCACCAAGGCGUGUUGGGUUGCACGUAGGCAAAGCGCGUCCGCUUCCUAUUUAAGGGGAGCCAGCCGCCACCUGCAGUCAGUCUACUCCAGACACACAGCAAAGAAGGCAACAGUCACUCCCAACUCUACUGAUUUCUCAUCUGUAGUGACAGUUGUCUGCUGUCUCCCAUCAACGUUCUUACUUUAUUCAGGCAUCAGUCAUCCCUCGUGAGUCAACAAUGGGUCAGAACAAGGUGUACACCUCUACCGCCUACGGCCACCCCGAGGCAAGCAACAAUGGCUCGUACAAAGCCACGGUGAAGAGUGCCACCGCCCAGCAGGCCGCCACCUCUCGACCCAGCACGAGCGGCCGCAGCGGCGAGAACAAGGGCAAGCCCGACGUGUGGGGGCCGAUAUACCGCAACAGGCAGAACUUUGUGGACAUGCACAUCUGCUAGGGCACGCCGCCGCUGGCCGGACUUGGGACCAGUUCGUUAACUGCCAGACGGCUGAAGCUCAGAGGCGAGGCACACACACGUCGCCCCGUGGAGCACGACUCGCCGCGGCGUCCAGACGGACAACAACACAUCGGUUGUGCCUGGGGGUGUGCCCAGGAGGACCACUGGUGAAGACGCUGUGUCUGGUGAUGACCAAGUCUCCUUGUCGAUGACAGUCGACGAGAAGGCGUGUCACAGGCGUGUCACCACCCACCCGAGCAGAGAUGCUGUGUUGCUGUCCUUUUCUGCCCCCCAUCCCCCCUAUCCUGCCACGCCCCUUGUGGUGACAGAAGCACGGCCCUCACAACAGUGCCACUGCUGGCACCUCACUGCACUGCCCUCAGCUAUCCACCCACAUAAACUGUUUUGUUCCCGUAUACGAGGAACAUUUAGAAUGUAGCAGAGCACUUUUUACUUAUUAAACAUGAAUAAUAAAUAUGUUAUGAUAUAAUCGUGACGGUAAAAUACGA